GACGGGGCCGCACAAGCGAGGAACAUGUGGUUUAAUUCGAUGAUACGCGAGGAACCUUACCUGGGCUUAAAUGUAGAGUGCAUUUUCUAGAGAUAGGAAUUCCCUUUCGGGGCUUUCUACAAGGUGCUGCAUGGUUGUCGUCAGCUCGUGCCGUGAGGUGUCGGGUUAAGUCCCAUAACGAGCGCAACCCUUAUCGUUAGUUGCCAUCUGGUAAAGCAGGGGACUCUAGCGAAACUGCCACCGUAAGGUGAGAGGAAGGUGGGAUGACGUCAAAUCAGCACGGCCCUUAUGUCCAGGGCUACACACGUGUUACAAUGGGUGGUACAAAGAGCAGCUAACUCGCGAGAGUAUGCAAAUCUCAAAAAGCCAUCCUCAGUUCGGAUUGGAGUCUGCAACUCGACUCCAUGAAGUUGGAAUCGCUAGUAAUCGCGGAUCAGCAUGCCGCGGUGAAUACGUUCCCGGGCCUU
rnacentral:rRNA from 1 species